rnacentral:rRNA from 1 species
GACGAACGCUGGCGGCGUGCUUAACACAUGCAAGUCGAACGGAAAGGCCCCCAUCUUGGUGGGGGUGCUCGAGUGGCGAACGGGUGAGUAACACGUGGGUGAUCUGCCCUGUACUUCGGGAUAAGCUUGGGAAACUGGGUCUAAUACCGGAUAGGACCAUGGUUUAGUGUCUCAUGGUGGAAAGAUUAUUGUUUUGGUGCAGGAUGAGCUCGCGGCCUAUCAGCUUGUUGGUGGGGUAAUGGCCUACCAAGGCGUCGACGGGUAGCCGGCCUGAGAGGGUGGACGGCCACAUUGGGACUGAGAUACGGCCCAGACUCCGACGGGAGGCAGCAGUGGGGAAUAUUGCACAAUGGGCGCAAGCCUGAUGCAGCGACGCCGCGUGGGGGAUGACGGCCGUCGGGUUGUAAACUCCUUUCGUUAGGGACGAAGCCGCACUUUUUUUGGGUGUGGUGACGGUACCUUUGUGAAGAAGCACCGGCUAACUACGUG